rnacentral:rRNA from 1 species
AACGUAGGACACAAGCGUUAUCCGGAGUUACUGGGCGUAAAGGGCGUGUAGGCGGACCUAUAAGUCUAUUCUGAAAGCUCCUGGCUAAACUGGGAGAGGCGAAUGGAGACUGUAGAUCUAGAGUGAGGAAGAGGAAAGUGGAAUUCCGCGUGUAGCAGUGAAAUGCGUAGAGAUGUGGAGGAACACCGAUGGCGAAGGCAGCCCCCCUGGGUCAAGACUGACGCUCAUGCACGAAAGCGUGGGGAGCGAACAGG